UACGGAGGGUGCGAGCGUUGUCCGGAAUCACUGGGCGUAAAGGGCGCGUAGGCGGCGCGGGUAGUCGUCGGUGAAAGCUCAGGGCUCAACUCUGAGUCGGCCGGUGAUACUCCCGUGCUCGAGCACUGUAGAGGCAGGUGGAAUUCCGGGUGUAGCGGUGGAAUGCGUAGAGAUCCGGAAGAACACCGGUGGCGAAGGCGGAUCUCUGGGCCUUACCUGACGCUGAGGCGCGAAAGCUAGGGGAGCAAACGGG
rnacentral:rRNA from 1 species